rnacentral:rRNA from 1 species
CAGCAGCCGCGGUAAUACGAAGGGUGCAAGCGUUACUCGGAAUUACUGGGCGUAAAGCGUGCGUAGGUGGUGGUUUAAGUCCGUUGUGAAAGCCCUGGGCUCAACCUGGGAAUUGCAGUGGAUACUGGGUCACUAGAGUGUGGUAGAGGAUAGUGGAAUUUCCGGUGUAGCAGUGAAAUGCGUAGAGAUCGGAAGGAACAUCUGUGGCGAAGGCGACUAUCUGGGCCAACACUGACACUGAGGCACGAAAGCGUGGGGAGCAAACAGGAUUAGAUAUCCCCGUAGUCCCUGUCUCUUAUAC